rnacentral:rRNA from 1 species
ACCCCUAAGGCGAGGCCGAAAGGCGUAGUCGAUGGGAAACAGGUUAAUAUUCCUGUACUUGGUGUUACUGCGAAGGGGGGACGGAGAAGGCUAUGUUGGCCGGGCGACGGUUGUCCCGGUUUAAGCGUGUAGGCUGGUUUUCCAGGCAAAUCCGGAAAAUCAAGGCUGAGGCGUGAUGACGAGGCACUACGGUGCUGAAGCAACAAAUGCCCUGCUUCCAGGAAAAGCCUCUAAGCAUCAGGUAACAUCAAAUCGUACCCCAAACCGACACAGGUGGUCAGGUAGAGAAUACCAAGGCGCUUGAGAGAACUCGGGUGAAGGAACUAGGCAAAAUGGUGCCGUAACUUCGGGAGAA